AAACGGUGUCUAAUACCGCAUAUGGUCUUCGGAUUAAAGCUUCGGCGGUUUGGGAAGAGCCCGCGUAAGAUUAGCUAGUUGGUGAGGUAAUGGCUCACCAAGGCGACGAUCUUUAACUGGUUUGAGAGGAUGAUCAGUCACACUGGAACUGAGACACGGUCCAGACUCCUACGGGAGGCAGCAGUGAGGAAUUUUCCACAAUGGGCGAAAGCCUGAUGGAGCAACGCCGCGUGCAGGAUGAAGGCUUUAGGGUUGUAAACUGCUUUUAUAUGUGACGAAUAUGACGGUAGCAUAUGAAUAAGGAUCGGCUAACUCCGUG
rnacentral:rRNA from 1 species